rnacentral:lncRNA from 1 species
GACCUGAACAUCUCUUCAGGGUUCUAUUUAAUCAUAGCUAUCUAAUUUUUUUCUAAUCUGUACUAUAAUCUGUUCUCUCAGAAAAAUGAGGAUCGAGGAAGAAGCAAGUAAUGUCUCAUCCAUGUAGAUUUAAAUUUGACAUGUUGAAAUUAUUGGCAAUUGCGUGUAUUUUUGUUAUGAAAUGUCUCAUUUAUAGACAAUGUAGAGAGAAAAAACUGUUACAUAAAAUAGCAGCAGAACAUUAAGAAAUAUAGUAUUUGCAGACAUUUAAAGAAUGACGUUACUCUCUAAAAUAUGUCAGAGCUAUUUCCAUUAUACAUUUUUAAAUCUUGAAGAAAAUAACCUUUCAAAAACUUUCCUAGAGAGAGCAAAGAUUUCUCAGAAGUUGUGUUCAAAGACCGGUCCGUCUGGCUGUUGCAGAAUUCUGAUGUCUCCAAGAACGGCGUGUCCUCUAGAAUCUGUUCAGCUACAACCCCACAGAGACAGUCUCCUGAGAUUGACCCUGCCUUUAGCCAAGGACCAAGUGAAAGACAACUUUCGUUCUGUGUCCCCUGGCUGAAGUAUCACACCUAUAAGAGUGAGGACCUCUAAAUCUGCAAAGUCCAGGUAGAAGGCACAAGAAAAGCAUCUUUAGCAAAGAUUAUCGAAGGGCAGGAAAUUGAAGAGGAGACUUACCUCGGCAAUCUUCCCUUUGGUGCCCAAGAAGGACUUAAAAUACCACAGGCUCAUGGGCAGUGACCCUGUUCAACAAGGUCUAAAUUCAUAUAUUAAACAUUUGAUCAUAAUCAGAG